GUUGUUUUUUACAUCUACUAUAGAAAUUAAACUAAAAUCUAAUUAUGGAUGCAAGUUUACCUUUUAGAACUGAUCUGGACCAGAGAGAAUCAUUACAAUUCCAGCUGUAGUAUACUUGAGGGGAAAAAGUCAAAUUCAGAAGAACAGCCAUGACAUCAUCCAUAACAUACCUCUAUGAUGUGUGACCUGCAGGGAAGGACAAAGAAGAACAAAAAUUUGGGAAAGAGUUUCCCUCAUUAAAUAUUUACCAUUUCAGCUCCAGAUUCAGGAAAGUCUUGAUUGUAUUUCCAGUUAUGCUGUUUUUCUCCAAUGCACAUGCCUUUGGUCUGCAUUUCUCAGCACCCAGAACUACCCCUGAAGAAAAUAGGGCAGCAGCC